UGAAUUAGCGGCGAACGGGUGAGGAACACGUGAGAAAUCUGCCUUCAACACUGGGAUAACUCCGGGAAACCGGGGCUAAUACCGGAUAUGAAAUCUGCGGGCAUCCGCGGAUUUGGAAAGUUUUUCGGUUGAAGAUGAUCUCGCGGCCUAUCAGCUUGUUGGUGAGGUAAUGGCUCACCAAGGCGACGACGGGUAGCCGGCCUGAGAGGGCGACCGGCCACACUGGGACUGAGACACGGCCCAGACUCCUACGGGAGGCAGCAGUGGGGAAUAUUGGGCAAUGGAGGAAACUCUGACCCAGCGACGCCGCGUGCGGGAUGAAGGCCUUCGGGUUGUAAACCGCUUUCAGCAGGGAAGAAGCGAAAGUGACGGUACCUGCAGAAGAAGCACCGGCUAACUAUGUGCCAGCAGCCGCGGUAAUACAUAGGGUGCAAGCGUUGUCCGGAAUUAUUGGGCGUAAAGAGCUCGUAGGUGGUUCGUCACGUCGGAUGUGAAACUCUGGGGCUUAACCCCAGACCUGCAUUCGAUACGGGCGAGCUUGAGUAUGGUAGGGGAGUCUGGAAUUCCUGGUGUAGCGGUGGAAUGCGCAGAUAUCAGGAGGAACACCAAUGGCGAAGGCAGGACUCUGGGCCAUUACUGACACUGAGGAGCGAAAGCGUGGGGAGCGAACAGGAUUAGA
rnacentral:rRNA from 1 species